AUUGAACGCUGGCGGCAUGCCUUACACAUGCAAGUCGAACGGUAACAGGUUAAGCUGACGAGUGGCGAACGGGUGAGUAAUGUAUCGGAACGUGCCCAGUCGUGGGGGAUAACUACUCGAAAGAGUGGCUAAUACCGCAUACGACCUGAGGGUGAAAGCGGGGGACCGUAAGGCCUCGCGCGAUUGGAGCGGCCGAUAUCAGAUUAGCUAGUUGGCGGGGUAAAAGCCCACCAAGGCGACGAUCUGUAGCUGGUCUGAGAGGACGACCAGCCACACUGGGACUGAGACACGGCCCAGACUCCUACGGGAGGCAGCAGUGGGGAAUUUUGGACAAUGGACGCAAGUCUGAUCCAGCCAUGCCGCGUGCGGGAAGAAGGCCUUCGGGUUGUAAACCGCUUUUGUCAGGGAAGAAACGGGUUUCUCUAAUACAGAGACCUAAUGACGGUACCUGAAGAAUAAGCACCGGCUAACUACGUGCCAGCCGCCGCCGUAA
rnacentral:rRNA from 1 species